GGGCCCGCACAAGCAGCGGAGCAUGUGGUUUAAUUCGAAGCAACGCGAAGAACCUUACCAAGGCUUGACAUCCCUUGAAUACUGUGGAAACAUAGUAGGCCCUUCGGGGACAAGGAGACAGGUGGUGCAUGGUUGUCGUCAGCUCGUGUCGUGAGAUGUUGGGUUAAGUCCCGCAACGAGCGCAACCCUUGUGAAUAGUUACCAGUAUUAAGUUAGGGACUCUAUUCAGACUGCCGUGGACAACACGGAGGAAGGUGGGGACGACGUCAAAUCAUCAUGCCCCUUAUGUCUUGGGCUACACACGUGCUACAAUGGCCGUAACAGAGGGCAGCGAAAUGGUAACAUGAAGCGAAUCUCAUAAAUACGGUCUCAGUUCAGAUUGUGGGCUGCAACCCGCCCACAUGAAGACGGAGUUGCUAGUAAUCGCGAAUCAGCAUGUCGCGGUGAAUGCGUUCCCGGGCCUU
rnacentral:rRNA from 1 species